GACGAACGCUGGCGGCGUGCCUAAUACAUGCAAGUAGAACGCACAGUUUAUACCGUAGCUUGCUACACCAUAGACUGUGAGUUGCGAACGGGUGAGUAACGCGUAGGUAACCUGCCUGGUAGCGGGGGAUAACUAUUGGAAACGAUAGCUAAUACCGCAUAAUAUUAAUUAUUGCAUGAUAAUUAAUUGAAAGGUGCAAUUGCACCACUACCAGAUGGACCUGCGUUGUAUUAGCUAGUAGGUGAGGUAACGGCUCACCUAGGCGACGAUACAUAGCCGACCUGAGAGGGUGAUCGGCCACACUGGGACUGAGACACGGCCCAGACUCCUACGGGAGGCAGCAGUAGGGAAUCUUCGGCAAUAGACGAAAGUCUGACCGAGCAACGCCGCGUGAGUGAAGAAGGGUUUCGGAUCGUAAAGCUCGGUUGUAAGAGAAGAACGGGUGUGAGAGUGGAAAGUUCACACUGUGACGGUAUCUUACCAGAAAGGGACGGCUAACUACGUG
rnacentral:rRNA from 1 species